GUCUACGGCCAUGCCACCCUGAACAAGCCCGAUGUCUGAUCUCGGAAGCUAAGUAGGGUCGGGCCUGGUUAGUACUUGGAUGAGAGACCACCUAGGAAGACCAGGUGCUGUAGGCA
rnacentral:rRNA from 1 species